UGCGGGAUAGAGUAAUUGGUAACUCGUCAGGCUCAUAAUCUGAAAAAUGUAGGUUCAAGUCCUACUCCCGCUC
rfam:Micromonas sp. RCC299 mitochondrion, complete genome.